CUGCCAGUGAUAAGCAAUAAAUUACAUUAGUCUCCCUAUGCUGAGUCUGUUUUGCCUGUGCCAGUAAUGGGUGAGUGAUUUCCUGUCAUUCUCUCAACCCUUGAACCUGCUCUGUCAUAUUUUCUCCCUUUUCUCCUUUGAGGAGUUGAGAGAGUGGUUGUGGUAGAGUUCAGCUGCCCAUCAGGAUAAAACUACCACACCAACUCAGUGAAAAAUUAUAGACAAUGACAAAAAAAAUCCAGCAUUUAGCCAUUUAAAUGCCAGAAUCUUGAAGACCCAGACAAGGACUUUGAAGUUUAGUUUGUCCAACCCCAUUACUGAGCAGAGCUAUGAAUAAGAAGUAGCACUUGCUGAACAAGUUAUGGCAUUGAAAGGAGAACCAAGUCAGGGCUGAUGCCAGAACAGUAAAAGGUCUCUUGGAACAAGAGUGAAUAAAGACCUCUUCAGAUGAACAGCCAUAUCAGAAGCGACACCAGUGACAGCUCCUGAUCAGUGUCUUACAAGCUAAAAUAUCCACUGCCGGAUGCUUUCCACACUCUUUGGAAAGGUGGAAAACUUCUACUUUCAGGUGGAAAAUACAGUUCAAGUGAAAAUUCUCAACAUGUUUCCUGGAUACUAUCUCCAUAUGCCUUCCACGUCUAAUUUUAAGGUGCAUGUAAGGUACAUCGGUUAACUUUAUUGUCGCCUUCUGCGACACUUGUUUCAUCUCAUCAUCGCCAAAGGUUAGUGGGCAGACGCUACUCACUGCUGCCAUCUAAUGGUACAGAACCCAUCCAAAGUGCUCAGCGAAACAACAGGGGAAGUUUCUUAGAAAUUUCUCAAUUUCACAGGUGCUUGAAAGCUUAGAAAGGUGUGUUUCUGACCACUUUAAGUUUUAAAAUGUUUCUUUGAGAACUGAAAACAAAAGUCAGUACGAUUUUCUGAGGAAAGCAAAGAUUUCCUGCAAAAUCCAUUUCAGUUUCUGCACAUUCUAAAACAGCAAUUUCAAUGAGAUCUAGCCUAGAUAUAUGUAGAAAAGCAAAAUAGAUGAUAGAUGUAAGAUAAACUGGAAAACAAGAUAUAAAAUAGUUGCCACUUUUUGAUGUAUAUAAAUAAAAUAAUAGUUUUUAUUUUAGUCCA
rnacentral:lncRNA from 1 species